rnacentral:rRNA from 1 species
UACAGAGGGUGCAAGCGUUGUUCGGAAUUAUUGGGCGUAAAGCGCGUGUAGGCGGCUUAGUAAGUUGGGUGUGAAAGCCCUCGGCUUAACCGAGGAAGUGCGCCCAAAACUGCUUGGCUUGAGUACCGGAGAGGGUGGCGGAAUUCCUGGUGUAGCGGUGAAAUGCGCAGAUAUCAGGAGGAACACCAGCGGCGAAGGCGGCGCUCUGGGCCGGUACUGACGCUGAGGAGCGAAAGCGUGGGAGCAAACAGG